CGGUGCCGGUGGGAACAAGUGAUCCGUCCAUCAGAUCGCAGGCGGGGGGAGAAUGAUUGUCGCUGAAUCCUGGGGUCACCGCCGUUCGUCUCAUGCUUUUCACUGGAUCGGUCGACCCUCUCCUUAUGCACCGGUAAGAAACCUUUCCCCUUUCGAAUUCGUCCAUAAAACGUGUAGUUGCUGUUGAUGUUGGGUUCUGGAUCGCUGUGUCAUGGGCGCCUAUGAGCUCAUCGCGGUGGGACCGCUUCGCGUCGGGCGGCCAUGGCUAGCUAGUAGGGAGAGAAGGAACGCUGGGAGGCCGUGAGGUAGAAGACAUCGCGCGACCGUCGGAUUUGAACUGAGGGCUGAGAUUAGAUCUGGGAGGGUUGGUUGUCGGCCGUUGAUGCGAGGAUGGACGAACCGGAUCAGGACUCCCAAACCGCUUCACGUUAUUUAAUCGGAGUCGUUGAUCUUCGAAUCCACGAUCGAAAUCGAGUCUUCGCUAUUUUAAAUCUCUGCCAUUGAUUCCGGAUCCAAGGGGCCGGAUGGCGUACAGGUUCGUGGCCGACUAGUUUUAAUCUGGACGCCCCGUUAGGAUCAGGCGGCCGAGAUCAAACCGCACCUAUUCGCUCUGGCACAAUUGCAUAAGAGUCCCUCGGGAAGUAGGAAAUAGAACCCACCAUCCACCUUCACUGUGCGCCGUGUCUUGGGGGUUUUGUCCCGAACCCCCUGGGUUUCUCUAGAUUUGAGGCCUGGUCCAGUGUAAUAUUAAACCAGAGAAAUUAAUCUAUAAAUGGGUUUUUAAUAAAUAAAUAAAUGUUAGAACUUGAUUAAAUCAUAGAAAAUCCAUUUUUAGUCCAAAUUAACCCAUUCAACUUUCUAUAUUUUUGUAAUAUUAUUCUCUAUCACUUAGAGACUCUGUUUUGUCAUGAAAAUAGUAAGAAAAAUAAUUCCCCAUUAAUCCUAUUUUAAGCACAUAAAACCUUUGGAAAUUCAUAUCUUAAAAUCUAUAACUCCAAAAAUUAUGAUUCCUGUUCCUAGGAUUUUAUUUUAACGAGUAGAUUAUUAUUAUGUAUUUUUUACAUGUUUGGUGUGAUGUUAAUUUUCUCUAUAUAUUGUGCUUGUUUGUAUUGUGGCGAGUAGAAGAGCCUAUGACCGAGGAUCCUGGUGACCAGCUGAUAGAAGUAGCUGAGCAGGAGCUCAUUGAAGGCAAGUUGUGCCCUUGAUCACUUCUUUUACCCAUUCAUGUUCUUAUUAAUCAUAAUGAUUUGCAUAGGUUAAUUUUGAUGGGACCCAAUAGGUUACCCUAGAUUUUGACUAUCUUUAUACCUUGUUUCACCACUAGUUUUACUACUAAAUUUUUGGAUAGUACAUGCUAUUGCUUUAUGUGGCUUUGGGUAUAAAGAUAUUCAUCACUCAUUGUUAUACUUUUUAUUAUCUGUUUAUUAUUAUUAUUCAUGAUAAGAUCAUUAUGUUAAUGGGAACAUGGAGAACCACCCAGGAAAACAGUGCUACCACAAGAGUUUAAUGGGACGCCCUUGGCUGAUUAACUAGGAAAGCUAGUGGAUGACUACCUUACCUGAAAGGGGCAAGGGCAGUAGGGGAGUGGUCAGUGUAGGGAGGUCCUUGGGUUGAUUUUGCUGCGAUGGCGGUCAGGCGAGGGAUUCCUGCACUGGAGCUUCCUAUAAACUGUAGCGGGUUUUC
rnacentral:lncRNA from 1 species